rnacentral:rRNA from 1 species
GUUUUCUUUACCCCGUCUUGAAACACGGACCAAGGAGUCUAACGUCUAUGCGAGUGUUUGGGUGUAAAACCCGUACGCGUAAUGAAAGUGAACGUAGGUGAGGGCUCUUUUUUGAGUGCAUCAUCGACCGAUCCUGAUGUCUUCGGAUGGAUUUGAGUAAGAGCAUAGCUGUUGGGACCCGAAAGAUGGUGAACUAUGCCUGAAUAGGGUGA